rnacentral:rRNA from 1 species
UAAGCCAUGCGAGUCGAGAGGGUUCGGCCCUCGGCGUACUGCUCAGUAACACGUGGAUAACCUGCCCUAGGGAAGGGGAUAAUCCCGGGAAACUGGGGAUAAUACCCUAUAGGUUACAGAUGCUGGAAUGCUCUGUAAUCAAAAGUUCCGGCGCCCUAGGAUGGAUCUGCGGCCUAUCAGGUAGUAGUGGGUGUAAUGUACCUACUAGCCAACAACGGGUACGGGUUGUGAGAGCAAGAGCCCGGAGAUGGAUUCUGAGACAUGAAUCCAGGCCCUACGGGGCGCAGCAGGCGCGAAAACUUUACAAUGCGGGAAACCGUGAUAAGGGAACACCGAGUGCCAGCAUCAUAUGCUGGCUGUCCAGAUGUGUAAACUACAUCUGUUAGCAAGGGCCGGGCAAGACCGGUGCCAGCCGCCGCGGUAACACCGGCGGCCCGAGUGGUGACCGUUAUUAUUGGGUCUAAAGGGUCCGUAGCCGGUUUGGUCAAUCCUCCGGGAAAUCUGAUAGCUUAACUGUUAGGCUUUCGGGGGAUACUGCCAGGCUUGGAACCGGGAGAGGUAAGAGGUACUACAGGGGUAGGAGUGAAAUCUUGUAAUCCCUGUGAGACCACCUGUGGCGAAGGCGUCUUACCAGAACGGGUUCGACGGUGAGGGACGAAAGCUGGGGGCACGAACCGGAUUAGAUACCCGGGUAGUCCCAGCCGUAAACUAUGCUCGCUAGGUGUCAGGCAUGGCGCGACCGUGUCUGGUGCCGCAGGGAAGCCGUGAAGCGAGCCACCUGGGAAGUACGGCCGCAAGGCUGAAACUUAAAGGAAUUGGCGGGGGAGCACAACAACGGGUGGAGCCUGCGGUUUAAUUGGACUCAACGCCGGACAACUCACCGGGGACGACAGCAAUAUGUAGGCCAGGCUGAAGACCUUGCCUGAAUCGCUGAGAGGAGGUGCAUGGCCGUCGCCAGUUCGUACUGUGAAGCAUCCUGUUAAGUCAGGCAACGAGCGAGACCCA